UACAGAGGGGGCAAGCGUUGUUCGGAAUUACUGGGCGUAAAGGGCGCGUAGGCGGGUCCGGCAGUCAGGGGUGAAAUCCCACGGCCCAACCGUGGAAGUGCCUCUGAUACUUCGGACCUCGAGGGAGGUAGGGGCGUGCGGAACUCAGGGUGGAGCGGUGAAAUGCGUAGAUAUCCUGAGGAACACCGGUGGCGAAAGCGGCGCGCUGGAUUUCUUCUGACGCUGAGGCGCGAAAGCCAGGGGAGCAAACGGG
rnacentral:rRNA from 1 species